rnacentral:rRNA from 1 species
AUUGAACGCUGGCGGAAUGCUUAACACAUGCAAGUCGAGCGGGCUGUAGCAAUACAGCUAGCGGCGGACGGGUGAGGAAUACAUAGGAAUCUGCCUCAGAGUGGGGGAUAGCCCGGGGAAACCCGGAUUAAUACCGCAUGAUGUCGUAAGACCAAAGCAGGGGACCGUAAGGCCUUGCGCUUUGAGAUGAGCCUAUGUCGGAUUAGCUAGUUGGCGGGGUAAAAGCCCACCAAGGCGACGAUCCGUAGCUGGUCUGAGAGGACGAUCAGCCACACCGGAACUGAGACACGGUCCGGACUCCUACGGGAGGCAGCAGUGGGGAAUAUUGGACAAUGGGCGCAAGCCUGAUCCAGCAAUUCCGCGUGUGUGAAGAAGGCCUGG